CCUACGGGAGGCAGCAGUGAGGAAUAUUGGUCAAUGGGCGGGAGCCUGAACCAGCAAAGUCGCGUGAAGGAAGAAGGUACUUAGUAUUGUAAACUUCUUUUGUCGGGGAACAAAGGCGGAGACGCGUCUCCGGAUGAGUGUACCCGAAGAAAAAGCAUCGGCUAACUCCGUGCCAGCAGCCGCGGUAAUGCGGGGGAUGCGAGCGUUAUCCGGGUUUAUGGGGUUGAAAGGGGGCGCAGGGGGAAGAUAAAGUCCGCGGUAAAAGGUCGGGGUUCAACCCCGGCCGGCCGUUGAAACUGGGUUUCUAGAGUUGGAGAGAAGUAUGCGGAAUUCGUGGUGUAGCGGUGAAAUGCAUAGAUA
rnacentral:rRNA from 1 species